GCCGGAGUGGUGGAACGGCAGACACGGCGGUCUCAAAAACCGUUGAGCGCAAGCUCUUGCGGGUUCGAAUCCCGCCUCCGGCA
rnacentral:tRNA from 1 species